UACGAAGGGAGCUAGCGUUGUUCGGAAUCACUGGGCGUAAAGCGCACGUAGGCGGAUGUGUCAGUCAGGGGUGAAAUCCCGGAGCUCAACUUCGGAACUGCCUUUGAUACUGCGAAUCUUGAGUCCGAUAGAGGUGGGUGGAAUUCCUAGUGUAGAGGUGAAAUUCGUAGAUAUUAGGAAGAACACCGGUGGCGAAGGCGGCCCGCUGGAGCGGAACUGACGCUGAGGUGCGAAAGCGUGGGGAGCAAACAGG
rnacentral:rRNA from 1 species